UUGGGUGAAAUCAAUGUGGGUUCCACAUUUUGGAAAUGAGUCCCACAUGAAGUGGUGGGACUGACAUUAAUUUCAUCAAA
rnacentral:pre_miRNA from 1 species